rnacentral:rRNA from 1 species
GGCGUGAGAGCGUGACCCCCCACACUGGCACUGAGACACGGGCCAGACUUCUGCGGAAGGCAGCAGUGAGGAAUAUUGCGCAAUGGGCGAAAGCCAGACGCAGCAACGCCGCGUGGGUGAUGAAGGCCUUCGGGUCGUAAAACCCUUUAGUGAGGGAAGAGUAAGGACGGUACCCCAAGAAUAAGCGUCGGCUAACUACGUGCCAGCAGCCGCGGUAAAACGUAGGACGCGAGCGUUAUCCGGAUUUACUGGGCGUAAAGAGCGUUGAGGCGGUUCCGUAAGUUGGACGUGAAAGCUCCCGGCUCAACUGGGAGAGGCCGUUCAAUACUGCGGGACUUGAGGACAGCAGAGGGGGGUGGAAUACCCGGUGUAGUGGUGAAAUGCGUAAGAUAUCGGGAGGAACACCAGUGGCGAAGGCGGCCCCCUGGGCUGAUCCUGACGCUGGAGCCGAAAGCUAGGGGAGCGAACGGGAUUAGAAACCCCGGUAGUCCUAGCCGUUAACGAUGGAUACUAGGUGUGGGAGGCGAAAAAACCUUCCGUGCCGUAGCUAACGCGCUAAGUAUCCCGCCUGGGGACUACGGCCGCAAGGCUAAAACUCAAAGGAAUUGACGGGAGCCCGCACAAGCAGCGGAGCGUGUGGUUUAAUUCGAUGCUACGCGAAGAACCUUACCAGGGCUUGACAUGCAAGUAGUAGUGAAGCGAAAGCGGAACGACCCUUCGGGGAGCUUGCACAGGUGCUGCAUGGCUGUCGUCAGCUCGUGCCGUGAGGUGUUAGGUUAAGUCCUGUAACGAGCGCAACCCCUACUGUCAGUUACAUGUGUCUGGCGGGACUGCCCGGCUCAACCGGGCGGGAGGUGGGGAUGACGUCAAGUCAGCAUGGCCUUUAUGUCCUGGGCUACACACACGCUACAAUGGCCGGUACAAUGGGUAGCCAAGCCGCGAGGCGGAGCCAAUCCUCCAAAGCCGGUCUCAGUUCGAAUUGUAGGCUGCAACUCGCAUACAUGAAGCUGGAGUUGCUAGUAACCGCAGGUCAGCCACACUCCGGUGAAUACGUUCCCGGGCUUUGUACACACCGCCCGUCACGUCAUGGGAGUCGGCAACACCUGAAGCCGGUGGCCCAACCGAAAGGAGGCAGCCGUCGAA